CCUACGGGGGGCUGCAGUGGGGAAUAUUGGACAAUGGGGGGAACCCUGAUCCAGCCAUGCCGCGUGUGUGAAGAAGGCCCUCGGGUUGUAAAGCACUUUCAGUGAGGAAGAACGCCUGGUGGUUAAUACCCAUCAGGAAAGACAUCACUCACAGAAGAAGCACCGGCUAACUCCGUGCCAGCAGCCGCGGUAAUACGGAGGGUGCGAGCGUUAAUCGGAAUUACUGGGCGUAAAGCGCGCGUAGGUGGCUUGAUAAGCCGGUUGUGAAAGCCCCGGGCUCAACCUGGGAACGGCAUCCGGAACUGUCAAGCUAGAGUGCAGGAGAGGAAGGUAGAAUUCCCGGUGUAGCGGUGAAAUGCGUAGAGAUCGGGAGGAAUACCAGUGGCGAAGGCGGCCUUCUGGACUGACACUGACACUGAGGUGCGAAAGCGUGGGUAGCAAACAGGAUUAGAUACCCUAGGAGUC
rnacentral:rRNA from 1 species